UUACGAGGUCAGGACACUGUGAGGAUUGACAGAUUGAAAGCUCUUUCUUGAUUCAGUGGGUGGUGGUGCAUGGCCGUUCUUAGUUGGUGGAGUGAUUUGUCUGGUUAAUUCCGUUAACGAACGAGACCUUAACCUGCUAAAUAGCCACGCGAACCGGUCCGCAAGGGCUCAAAGUUCGCGGCUCGACUUCUUAGAGGGACUAUUCGCACCCGCCAGCGAAUGGAAGUUUGAGGCAAUAACAGGUCUGUGAUGCCCUUAGAUGUUCUCGGCCGCACGCGCGUUACACUGACGGAGUCAACGAGCGUUUUUCCUUGCCCGAUAGGGUUGGGUAACCUCCUGAAACUCCGUCGUGAUGGGGAUAGAUCAUUGCAAUUAUUGAUCUUGAACGAGGAAUUCCUAGUAGGCGCGAGUCAUCAACUCGCGCCGAUUACGUCCCUGCCCUUUGUACACACCGCCCGUCGCUCCUACCGAUUGAACGGUCCGGCGAGAACUCCGGAUGGUC
rnacentral:rRNA from 1 species